GACGAAGGGGGCUAGCGUUGUUCGGAAUUACUGGGCGUAAAGCGCGUGUAGGCGGUUAUCCAAGUCAGGUGUGAAAGCCUUGAGCUCAGCUCAAGAAAUGCACUUGGUACUGGGUGACUAGAGGACCGGAGAGGAUAGUGGAAUUCCCAGUGUAGUGGUGAAAUACGUAGAGAUUGGGAAGAACACCAGUGGCGAAGGCGGCUAUCUGGACGGUUUCUGACGCUAAGACGCGAAAGCGUGGGGAGCAAACAGG
rnacentral:rRNA from 1 species